rnacentral:rRNA from 1 species
UACGUAGGGGGCUAGCGUUGUCCGGAAUCAUUGGGCGUAAAGAGCGUGUAGGCGGCUCGGUAAGUCGGGUGUGAAAUCUCGGAGCUUAACUCCGAAACUGCAUUCGAUACUGCCGUGCUUGAGGACUGGAGAGGAGACUGGAAUUUACGGUGUAGCGGUGAAAUGCGUAGAUAUCGUAAGGAAGACCAGUGGCGAAGGCGGGUCUCUGGACAGUUCCUGACGCUGAGGCACGAAGGUCAGGGGAGCAAACGGG